rnacentral:rRNA from 1 species
AUUGAACGCUGGCGGCAGGCCUAACACAUGCAAGUCGAGCGGAUGAAGGGAGCUUGCUCCUGGAUUCAGCGGCGGACGGGUGAGUAAUGCCUAGGAAUCUGCCUGGUAGUGGGGGAUAACGUCCGGAAACGGGCGCUAAUACCGCAUACGUCCUGAGGGGGAAAGUGGGGGAUCUUCGGACCUCAGGCUAUCAGAGGAGCCUAGGUCGGAUUAGCUAGUUGGUGGGGUAAAGGCCUACCAAGGCGACGAUCCGUAACUGGUCUGAGAGGAUGAUCAGUCACACUGGAACUGAGACACGGUCCAGACUCCUACGGGAGGCAGCAGUGGGGAAUAUUGGACAAUGGGCGAAAGCCUGAUCCAGCCAUGCCGCGUGUGUGAAGAAGGUCUUCGGAUUGUAAAGCACUUUAAGUUGGGAGGAAGGGCAGUAAGUUAAUACCUUGCUGUUUUGACGUUACCAACAGAAUAAGCACCGGCUAACUUCGUG